rnacentral:rRNA from 1 species
GGGUUGUGAGGUUAAGCGACCAAGCGUACACGGUGGAUGCCCUGGCAGUCAGAGGCGAUGAAGGACGUGCUAAUCUGCGAAAAGCGCCGGUAAGGUGAUAUGAACCGUUAUAACCGGCGAUGUCCGAAUGGGGAAACCCAGUGUGACUCGUCACACUAUCAUUAACUGAAUCCAUAGGUUAAUGAGGCGAACCGGGGGAACUGAAACAUCUAAGUACCCCGAGGAAAAGAAAUCAACCGAGAUUCCCCCAGUAGCGGCGAGCGAACGGGGAGGAGCCCA